ACUGUUUUCUCCAAUCUCGUACAAGUUUGUCAUGGCAGUUAACAAAAAUGAAAACACCCGAAUUACUGGAAAAUGGAAAAUUUUAAGCGACAAUUGUCACGGGUUUGAGGGGUAAGUAGGACCCAAAUGCAGCCAACUCCUGGGAAAAUGGUUCAGACAGGUUUAUUAACAAACGUGAACGUGACAUGAACAAACCCAGAACAAAACUGACGAACCGACACAGACAAAGGGGAGCACAAAGACUAUAUAGACACAGGAGGCAAGGUGAUUACACACAGGUGAAACACAUCAGGGCGGCGCAGACGAUCACUACACAGAAACAAAACCACGACAAGAAGCAAAAACACUGAGACACACAAGGAACCAAAUUACAAAAUAAAACAGGAAGUGCGAAAAGUCCAAAACAAAACUAACAAAAAGCGUCUGCCAUUGAAAAACAUGACAACAAUGGAAAAUGCACUGUUAUUAUAUUUUAGUAGUCAGGAUAAUCUGGUGAUAAGUAAAUGUUAAAGAGGAAAAGCGAAACUGUUAAAAGGACAUUGAUGUUAAAACAACUUAUUGACUGUAAAACUGCAACUUGAUAAUGGAAAGUGAAAUUGAAACUAAAUGGAAAACAGAAAAUGUUACCUGUCAGUGAUCAACUUAAAAGUUAAAAAUUAAUGGACAUUUGAGAUUUUUGUAAGUUUAAUAUGAGAAUGUUUAACUUUAAGAAUGUAAGAAUUGAAUGGUAAAAUCUUGCAUCCAUAUUCUUCAGUUAGUUACAUUAAUUUCCCUCCAUUUGAAAUAUUGUUGAGGGAAACAUCGGUUACAUAGUGUAAAUAAAAAUCUCCAUUUUCAGGGACAAUGACACUCCAUUCUCCAGAGAUUUAGUGUAUAAGGAAGAGGAAGAAGAGCAGUAGGGAUGAGUGGAAAACUGUCGCACACACACACACACACACACACACACAUACACACACACACACUCUCCAUAUUUCAGUCGGAUCAGCAACUUCUCUGCAGUUUGUUGUUUUUGCAGAAGAUGCUCACUUUCAUGAUCUUGUGCUACAUUUGGUUUCUGCAAACUUUUCUGAUCUGCUGCGAUGAAAACCCCACAGUGAUGCGGUUUUCAGUCCCGGAGGAUCACCAGGUCUGUCUGCGGUGUGGCGGCCCUGACCGGUCCCAUGUGGUCUGGACUCUUCAGGACAGACAGGUCCUGGUGACCAGAGAGGGCAGCUACGAGACCAACAAGGACCGGCAACGCUACCUCCUGCAGCCUGACGGAGGCCUCUGUGUGCUGCAGCUCGACGACUCUGAUAACGGGGAGUAUCGCUGUAACCAGCUGCUGGUGGCCGAGCUGCAGGUGCUGACAGAUCAUGAUUUCAUGGUCUCUGCAGGCCGGACGCUGCUGCUUCCCUGCAGCCGCUCACACAAACCCAAGCAGAGGUGGUUUCACCAGAGGAAAGGAGGGAGGCGGGAGGCCAUCUUCACGCUGUUCAGAAACGGGACGGCGAAAGCAGAGAGGGAGGGGAGCCGGCUCAGCUUCAAGGACAAAUCCCUGCAGAUCCAGGACCUGCAGCCAGAGGACGCUGGAGAGUAUCAGUGUAACGGAAAGCUGCAGGCCAAUGUCACCGUCCUCACAGUGCAAAAUGAGCCAACCAGCAUCCAGAUAUCCAACAGUACACCUCUGACAUCUGCUGUGGGGAUAACAGAUGUGGUUGAACUAAAGAAGAAGGAGAAGAAGAGAACUGAGAAUGGUUGCUGUAUUGAUGGUCGCUGUCGUCGGCUUGGGGCUAAUGAUCCUCCUCAUGACUGCCGUCUGCAUUUUACUGACCAGCAUGAAGUGCAGGAGGAAGAGGAAAUAUAGAUAUGAAGAGGCACAGAGACACGAGGUCACAGAGCUGCAGCCGUGGGAGACGUCCAGCAACAGACCAGCUGAGCGUGAGGUGUUAGAGAGUCCGUCCCUGCCGGAGGAGACGAUCCACUACGCCUCUCUGGGCCAUCAGAACUGGAG